rnacentral:rRNA from 1 species
GACGAACGCUGGCGGCGUGCCUAACACAUGCAAGUCGAGCGAGGGAAACUCUUCGGAGUGGAACUAGCGGCGGACGGGGGAGUAACACGUCGGCAACCUGCCUCGGAGAGAGGAAUAGCCUUUCGAAAGGAAGAUUAAUACCUCAUAAGAUUGUAAUUCCGCAUGGGAUAGCACUUAAGGGGGCAAUCCGCUAGAAGAUGGGCCAGCGUCGCAUUAGCUAGUUGGUAAGGUAAUGGCUUAGCAAGGCGACGAUGGGUAGCCGACCUGAGAGGGGAAUCGGCGACAUUGGGACUGAGAAACGGCCCCGACUCCUGCGGGAGGCAGCAAGGGGGAAUAUUGCACAAUGGGGGAAACCCUGAUGCAGCAACGCCGGGUGAGUGAUGACGGUCUUCGGAUUGUAAAGCUCUGUCUUCAGGGACGAUAAUGACGGUACCUGAGGAGGAAGCAACGGCUAACUACGUGCCAGCCGCCGCCGUAAGAC